AGAGUUUGAUCCUGGCUCAGGAUGAACGCUAGCUACAGGCUUAACACAUGCAAGUCGAGGGGCAGCAUGGGGUUUGCUUGCAAACCCCGAUGGCGACCGGCGCACGGGUGAGUAACGCGUAUCCAACCUUCCCCUUAGUAGGGCAUAGCCCGGUGAAAAUCGGAUUAAUACCCUAUAUUCUUCACAGCGGACAUCUAACGUGAAGCAAAGAUUCAUCGCUAAGGGAUGGGGAUGCGUCUGAUUAGGUAGUCGGCGGGGUAACGGCCCACCGAGCCAUCGAUCAGUAGGGGUUCUGAGAGGAAGGUCCCCCACAUUGGAACUGAGACACGGUCCAAACUCCUACGGGAGGCAGCAGUGAGGAAUAUUGGUCAAUGGGCGAGAGCCUGAACCAGCCAAGUAGCGUGCAGGAAGACGGCCCUAUGGGUUGUAAACUGCUUUUAUGCGGGGAUAAAGUCAGUUACGCGUAACUGUUUGUAGGUACCGCAUGAAUAAGGACCGGCUAAUUCCGUGCCAGCAGCCGCGGUAAUACGGAAGGUCCGGGCGUUAUCCGGAUUUAUUGGGUUUAAAGGGAGCGCAGGCCGGAGGUCAAGCGUGACGUGAAAUGUAGCCGCUCAACGGCUGAACUGCGUCGCGAACUGGCUUUCUUGAGUGAGUUCGAUGUGGGCGGAAUUCGUGGUGUAGCGGUGAAAUGCUUAGAUAUCACGAAGAACUCCGAUUGCGAAGGCAGCCCACAAGGCCUUUACUGACGCUAAAGCUCGAAGGUGCGGGUAUCGAACAGGAUUAGAUACCCUGGUAGUCCGCACGGUAAAGAUGGAUGCCCCCUGUUUGCGAAAUACUGUGAGC
rnacentral:rRNA from 1 species